rnacentral:SRP_RNA from 1 species
UCGUGCUAAGCGGGGAGGUAGCGGUGCCCUUUUCUCGCAAUCCGCUAUAGCGAGGCCGAAUUCCUUACCCGAGGUCUUUCAACUGUGAGGUCUGACCUGUGCAAGUGGUGUUGACACCCGGGUUCUGCGCAACGGAAACCCGCAAACCCUGUCAGGUCCGGAAGGAAGCAGCAGUAAGCGGCCCCUUCCGUGUGCCGCAGAGUCGCCUGGGUCGAGCAAACUGCACAGGUAACGCUCAUGGUUGUUAGAUCGAAGGAAGGUGCACGG